GUGACAGCCCCGUACACAAAAAUGCACAUGCUGUGAGCUCGAUGAGUAGGGCGGGACACGUGGUAUCCUGUCUGAAUAUGGGGGGACCAUCCUCCAAGGCUAAAUACUCCUGACUGACCGAUAGUGAACCAGUACCGUGAGGGAAAGGCGAAAAGAACCCCGGCGAGGGGAGUGAAAAAGAACCUGAAACCGUGUACGUACAAGCAGUGGGAGCACGCUUAGGCGUGUGACUGCGUACCUUUUGUAUAAUGGGUCAGCGACUUAUAUUCUGUAGCAAGGUUAACCGAAUAGGGGAGCCGAAGGGAAACCGAGUCUUAACUGGGCGUUAAGUUGCAGGGUAUAGACCCGAAACCCGGUGAUCUAGCCAUGGGCAGGUUGAAGGUUGGGUAACACUAACUGGAGGACCGAACCGACUAAUGUUGAAAAAUUAGCGGAUGACUUGUGGCUGGGGGUGAAAGGCCAAUCAAACCGGGAGAUAGCUGGUUCUCCCCGAAAGCUAUUUAGGUAGCGCCUCGUGAAUUCAUCUCCGGGGGUAGAGCACUGUUUCGGCAAGGGGGUCAUCCCGACUUACCAACCCGAUGCAAACUGCGAAUACCGGAGAAUGUUAUCACGGGAGACACACGGCGGGUGCUAACGUCCGUCGUGAAGAGGGAAACAACCCAGACCGCCAGCUAAGGUCCCAAAGUCAUGGUUAAGUGGGAAACGAUGUGGGAAGGCCCAGACAGCCAGGAUGUUGGCUUAGAAGCAGCCAUCAUUUAAAGAAAGCGUAAUAGCUCACUGGUCGAGUCGGCCUGCGCGGAAGAUGUAACGGGGCUAAACCAUG
rnacentral:rRNA from 2 species